GACGGAGGGUGCUAGCGUUGUUCGGAAUCACUGGGCGUAAAGGGCGCGUAGGCGGCCUCAGGUGUCGGAUGUGAAAGCCCGGGGCUCAACCCCGGAGGUGCAUCCGAAACUCUGGGGCUGGAGGUCGGAAGAGGAGGGUGGAAUACCCAGUGUAGAGGUGAAAUUCGUAGAUAUUGGGUGGAACACCGGUGGCGAAAGCGGCUCUCUGGUCCGGACCUGACGCUGAGGUGCGAAAGCGUGGGGAGCAAACAGG
rnacentral:rRNA from 1 species